GACGAACGCUGGCGGCGUGCUUAACACAUGCAAGUCGAACGCUGAAGCUCAGCUUUUGUUGGGUGGAUGAGUGGCGAACGGGUGAGUAACACGUGAGUAACCUGCCCCCUUCUUUGGGGUAACGCCCGGAAACGGGUGCUAAUACUGGAUAUUCACUGGUCUUCGCUUGGGGGUUGGUGGAAAGGGCUGUUCUGGGGGGGGAGGGGCUCGCGGCUGAUCAGGUUGUUGGUGGGGUGAUGGCCUAGCAAGGCUUUGACGGGUCGCCGGGCUGGGAGGCGGACCGGGCAGAUGAGGGGUGAGAUAGGGCCUAGACUACUACGCGAGGUAGCAGGGGGGAAAAUUGCGCAAAGGGUGCAAGACUGAGGCAGCGACGGCGGGUGAGGGGUGGAGGGCUUGGGGUUGGGAAUCUCUUUGGAUCACGGUUACGCCGGAACAAUGGUUGUAGUGAGGGUAGUGGGUAAAGAAGCGCCGGCUAACUACGUG
rnacentral:rRNA from 1 species